AUUGAACGCUGGCGGCAGGCCUAACACAUGCAAGUCGAGCGAGCGGCGGACGGGUGAGUAAUGUAUGGGGACUGCCCGAUAGAGGGGGAUAACUACUGGCAACGGUGGCUCAUACCGCCUACUAUCGGCUCACCCAUAUGGGAUUAGCUAGUAGGUGGGGUAAAGGCUCACCUAGGCGACGAUCUCUAGCUGGUCUGAGAGGAUGAUCAGCCACACUGGGAAUGAGACACGGCCCAGACGCCUACGGAGGCAGCAGUGGGGAAUAGUGCACAAUGGGAGAAAGCCGGAGGCAGCCAUGCCGCGUGGAUGAAGAAGGCCUGAGGGGUGUAAAGUACUUUCAGCGGGGAGGCGUUACCCGCAGAAGAAGCACCGGCUAACUCCGUGCCAGCAGCCGCGGUAAUAC
rnacentral:rRNA from 1 species